AUGGCAUACAUGCCUUCCUGCGGCACCUUCCAUGCACCUUUAGUGUCUUCUUGCCUGAGGAGGAAAUUCACAGUGGUGGCCACGGCUUCCAAGGCCAAGGUUGGAACUCCCGAAAAGGCCCCCACUCGAGUCCGAUUCGCACAACCAUUCCCACCUCAGAAGAAGGAAGUUUUCGAUUCACUGGAGCGCUGGGCAGAGGACAACAUCCUGGUCCUGUUGAAGCCAGUAGAGAAAUCCUGGCAGCCGCAGGACUACCUGCCAGACCCUUCCUCGGAUGGAUUCUAUGAUGAAGUCAAGGAGUUGAGGGAACGGGCCAAGGAGAUCCCGGAUGACUACUUGGUCUGUCUGGUUGGAGACAUGGUCACUGAGGAAGCACUCCCUACUUACCAGACAAUGCUCAAUAUCCUCGAUGGCGGUGUCGGCGAUGAUACCGGCACCAGUCCAGCAAGCUGGGCUGUCUGGACGAGGGCAUGGACGGCCGAGGAGAACAGGCAUGGUGAUCUCAUGAACAAGUACAUGUACCUCGCUGGGAGGGUUGAUAUGAGGCAGAUUGAGAAGACCAUACAGUAUCUCCUUGGUGCUGGAAUGGAUCCAAAAACCGAGGGUAACCCAUAUCAGGGUUACAUCUACACAUCUUUCCAAGAGAGGGCAACCUUCAUAUCCCACGGCAACACUGCGAGGCACGCCAGGAAGUACGGGGACCUGAAGCUGGCUCAGAUAUGUGGCACCAUCGCGGCCGACGAGAAGCGCCAUGAGACGGCCUACACCAAGAUUGUGGAGAAGCUCUUCGAGGUCGACCCCGACUACACCGUGCUGGCAUUCGCCGCCAUGAUGAGGAAGAAGGUCACGAUGCCCGCCCACUUGAUGUACGACGGGCAGGAUGACAACCUGUUUGAGCACUUCAGCGCGGUGGCUCAACGGCUGGGCAUCUACACCGCCAUGGACUACGCCGACAUCCUCGACUUUCUGGUGCAGAGGUGGAACGUCGCCAACCUCACUGGGCUGUCUGGGGAAGGGAGGCGGGCUCAGGAUUUCCUCUGCUCACUGGGACCAAGGUUCAGGAAGCUGGAGGAGCGAGCUCAGGGCAGGGCAAAGCAGUUACCGGUUGUUCCUUUCAGCUGGAUCCAUGGUCGGCAAGUGCAACUUUGA
rnacentral:rRNA from 1 species